AAAUCACGUUGAAACAACGGUUCCUGUACGAUCACCCAAGUUAAGCAGCGUCGAGCCUGGUCAGUACCUAGAUGGGUAGCCACUUGGGAAUGCUAGGUAUAG